AUUCCGGCCGACCUACCGCACGGUGUGAGUUAGUCACGUGAGGUGAAGUGUGAGAGUGGAACACACUGCAUCACAUGUGACCUCCCUACACAGUGCAAUGUCUCCCCGUCUGGAG
rnacentral:precursor_RNA from 13 species